GAAUUGUUCGCAAUGGGCGCAAGCCUGACGACGCAACGCCGCGUGGAGGAUGAAGGUCUUCGGAUUGUAAACUCCUGUUGCCCGGGACGAACGGCUCCAACCUAACACGUUGGAGAUUGACGGUACCGGGGGAGGAAGCCCCGGCCAACCACGUGCCAGCAGCCGCGGUAAUACAGAGGGGGCAAGCGUUGUUCGGAAUUACUGGGCGUAAAGGGCGCGUAGGCGGCCUUCUAAGUCGAACGUGAAAUCCCCGGGCUCAACCCGGGAACUGCGUCCGAUACUGGAAGGCUUGAAUCCGGGAGAGGGAUGUGGAAUUCCAGGUGUAGCGGUGAAAUGCGUAGAUAUCUGGAGGAACACCGGUGGCGAAGGCGGCAUCCUGGACCGGUAUUGACGCUGAUGCGCGAAAGCCAGGGGAGCAAACGGG
rnacentral:rRNA from 1 species